rnacentral:rRNA from 1 species
GAUUCUGCCUGACGUGGAUGCUAGUUUCAAGGAUUUAGCCAUGCAUGUCUAGGCGAAGCGCAAGCGGAGCUGCGAACGGCUCAGUAAUACGGUUACUAUCUGGACACACCGGGACACGGAUAACCACGGUAACCUGUGGCUAAUACGUUCCUGCGGGCACGGGAGUCUGAGGACGCGUGAGCGGACAGAGGAUCGGGUGUGUGUGAGUUUCCGGCCUAUCAGCUAUUUGAAGGUACGGUAAGGGCGUACCCUGGCGACGACGGGUAACGGGGAAUCGGGGUUUGAUUCCGGAGAGGGAGCCUGAGAGAUGGCUGCUACGUCCACGGAUGGCAGCAGGCGCGAAAAUUACCCAAUCCCGACACGGGGAGGUAGCGACGAAACGUAAGCAAGCUUAUGGGUGCAGGGCAAAGAGCUGCACGAAAGCAACUGGAGGGCAAGUCUGGUGCCAGCAGCCGCGGUAAUUCCAGCUCCAGUAGCGUCCAUGUGUGUUGCUGCAGUUAAAACGUCCAUAGUUGAGCUCUUCCCCGGGACAGGACAGAGCUGUCGGGCACCGGGGAGCGGUACCGUGAGCAAAUCAGGGAGCUCAAUGGGCUGGUCUAGCAUGGGACAACAAGGGUUCAGAGGAGCGAGCAAGGGCGAUAGUAUUCUGCAGCUAGAGGUGAAAUUCGUUGACCUGCGGAGGACUGACAGAAGCGAAAGCGUUCGCCAGGGGCGCAUCCGUUAAUCAAGGACGUAAGCCAGAGGAUCAAAGACGAUUAGAGACCGUCGUAGUUCUGGCCGUAAACGAUGCCGACCCGGCGUGGCCUGCUGGGCUGUGCCGUGGAGAAAUCAGAGUGUCUUGGCUCUGGGGAUAGUAUGAACGCAAGUUUGAAACUUAAAUGAAAUUGACGGAAGGACACCACAAGGAGUGGAGUGUGCGGCUUAAUUUGACUCAACGCGGGGCAACUUACCAGGGCCGGAUGCAGAGGUGAUGUACGCCACGUGUGGGCUGCAGAUUCUGCAGAGAGUGGUGCAUGGCCGUUCACAACACGUGGGGUGACCUGUCUGGCUAAUUCCGAUAACGUGUGAGACCCUCGGGCAGAGAGAUCUGGCGACGGGCCGCGACAAGCGGCAGGAAGCGGGGGGCGAUAACAGGUCUGUGAUGCCCUCAGAUGUCCUGGGCUGCACGCGCACUACAGUGUGUGCUGUGGAAACGAGAGUACGGUAUUGCGCACGAAGUGGGGAUAGACGGUUGUAAAUGCGUCUUGAACGAGGAAUUCCUAGUAAUAGCAAGUCACCAUCUUGCUGUGAAUGCGUCCCUGUCCUUUGUACACACCGCCCGUCGUUAUCUAAGAUGGGCGCCAGGGUGAAAUGGUGGGACGCAAGAAACACAGUUGAAUCCUGGGGCCUAGAUUGGAUACAAGUCGUA